AGAAGCAACAUGAAAACUAUCGUAGUCUUACUCGCAUUAUGCAUUGCCUGCUCUCUAGCACAGACUGAAGAUGGUUCGUGUGAGGUGGACGGCACGGUCUAUGCUGAAGGAGAACUGACCCCUGACCCCUGCAACAGGUGCCGUUGCUGGGGAGGUCUGGUCGUCUGCAACAGACGAGGCUGCCCAACAGACGGUGAACGAAGACCACUCUCCAAGUAACAACAUUAUGACCAGUCGUCCAGUUCACUGUCCAGAUGAACUGACACCAGAUUAAAUUAAAACUAUUUCUGAAGUCGUCUUUCCUAAAUUUAGACUGUCUCGAUUGUAUUUUAUGUUCUAAAA